CACGUAGGCGGGUAUUUAAGUCAGGUGUGAAAGACCGCAGCCCAACUGCGGGGUUGCACUUGAAACUGGAUAUCUUGAGGGCAGGAGAGGUCAGUGGAAUUCCUGGUGUAGCGGUGAAAUGCGUAGAUAUCAGGAGGAACACCAGUGGCGAAGGCGGCUGACUGGACUGACCCUGACGCUGAGGUGCGAAAGCGUGGGGAGCAAACA
rnacentral:rRNA from 1 species